AAAUAAUUUCAUUAUGCAAAUGAUUAUUAUUUUUCUCCGAGAAUGUUACAAUGACAUCUGCACAUCGUCGCUUCUUAUCUCCCAGCCGCCACCUGCACAGGGCACACUCCGACCAUGCAACCGCCAAGGUCGCCGACCACAUCGUGCACGUCCACGCCAUCGACCUCGGCGGACGGUGGCGCAAUGUUCGUCAGUAUGUCCUGUUGGUCGAGGAGCGCGAAGGAAGUGGGUUGAGGGAAGUGGGGGCGGCGGCAGAAGCAGCAUGGGUGUCCUACGGUGAGCGCUUUGAGGGAUUCUGCAGAGCAGUUCUCCCCGGAGGCCUGAUGCAUCCAACCGUACAAGGAAACUUAAAAACUACACCACAACUCUUAGGCUUGCCAAAAUAUGAGGAUUAUCACUCAGUCAUGAGCGAAACUGGAUGUACCCGGUAAGGAUGGAGGCGAGAUGGGGCCAUAGAGCCCCCUUUUGCGCAGGAGGGAGUAGAUCUGAGCCGAAGGCAACAAUUGUGGCCGCUUCCAGAGCCGAAGCCACUUGCGGAGUCAAUGUCAUGGUCGCCCCAGAGCGGAAUCCAUCGCCUAGGCCACAAGAGUAGGAGCUGCUGUCGCGGAGGUCAUCUCUGAACCUAAACUGAAGUUUCUAUGGAUGGAGGUCAGGACCAAGCUUUAGGCAGGAAAAUGGGACAAUCUUCAGUAAGCUACAAUGUUCAUGUCUUCUUAUAUCAUUUGACUGAUGUGUUCUUGUAUCAUUCUUCUACUUUCGGAGCUAUUACUGCGAUCAUUUUGACCUCAUGUCUUCUUAUAUCAUUUGACCUUAUCUAGAUAUUAGUGGUUCUUAAUCCAGCAAGGUCUUGAAUAUUUUUCGCUUUGUCCAUUCAAAAUUUUGUUCCUCUAGCAACGUUCAUGGUUUAAGCUUUGAUUCGAAAAACAACUUUCAAUUUUAUAGGAGACACAAAGAGCAACAACAAGCCGCUGUAGAUAUUGUGUAGUAGCAACAUUAAUGAUCUGCUAAUGUUAUAUUUUUUUCUUCUUUCCUUAAUAUCUACAUGACCAAUGUGUAUUUUUAAUGAUCAAACAUGCACAUGUCACAUUAAGAGGUUGAGAGUAGCUCAAAAGAUAUGCAUACAUCCUCUACCUUUUACCUAAUGAAAUAUUUCUAAAACCAUAGUAGAUGUCAGGUGUAAAUUCCAUGAAGAACUGUUGGUUUUUGUAAUUAUUUCGUGAAACUUUCAUUGUAGGGUUCUAGGAUUGGUGAAUAAGCAGGGUUGUUUUCUUUCUUUAGUAUCUGCAUGAUCAAGUCGGUCUGUACUUUUAAUGAUCAUACCUGCACAUGUCACAUUAAGAUUGAAUAUAUUGUGACUUUUCUAACCAUUUCUUGUUAAUUGCUUGGGGAAAAACUAAUAGGAAUAUUUUUCUUAGAAAUCUCAAGGAAGUAAUUGUUCUCACUGUUUUGGUAAAAUAACAUAUAUUUUUGUUGUAUGUAUACUUAAUUUCAGGAGAUGUAGAUUUUCUUGUUAUCUUAUAUAUGUUCCUUUUUUUUCUUGUGAAAAAUGAGUUCAACAAGGGCUCCUCAUUCUGGCCUCCUGGGGUUGAAAUGAUUACUCCUUUAAUUGAUUUGAAGAUUGUUAAUUUUUUAUAUUUGGAAACGCUUGGAAGCUUUCCUUUGUUUUGGCGUUAUGAAGAUCUUACGCUUGUCGCCGCUCCAACGCCGUCAGCCGCACCCGCUUCGGCGGCUCGCCCGGUUUGCCGUUGUUGCUCGGCCACACAUGGGCGAUGACUGGUGAAACCAUGCAAGUCAGCGUGAAAACCACUUUUGUUAAAUCAAAGGACUCGAGUUAUCCGGUUUAAAGAAUUGAGGGACUAAGUUUUGCUGGUUUUGAAGUUAAGGGACCGUUUCUAUACUUUCGAGAGAGUUUAGGGAUGAAAAAUAUACUUUUCCCUACUUGCUAUGAUGUUCGAAUUUGACUGUUCUGUCGUAAUCACCAAUCACCACAGUUAACACACUACACAUGAUUCUGCUUGCAGAAACCCAACAGUUAAUGGAGAAAUCAGGUCACUUUGCAUCUACUUUGCCUCAGUUUUUUCAGAAGUCAACAGAGUUUGUAAAAAAAAAGAAACAUGAUCCUGCGGCGGUUGCCCAGACUUUUUUUUUUCUGGGGUAGCAAUGUUUGGAUGGGACAUGUCCCUCCUUUCGUAACCACUUUGUAAUUUCUACUUGUGCUAUGUAAUAGACGGCUUACAUAAAAAGGCAGUAUGUUUUGUAGAUACUCCCUCUGUUGAGAAUAAUUGUCACUA
rnacentral:rRNA from 1 species